GUUUCUAGUUCUGGAGUGGAAUAUUAAUAUUAGAGAAUAACAGUGUGCAUACACGACAGCAUAAUGAAGAGGAAUGAUGUGAGGACAAGCAGCACAUUGUAAUGAGUCUCAAGCAUAAAAAACAUACACUGCUGGUCUAAUAAGAGAUGGCUUUCUCCCUUGCUUGUGUGUCUGCUGGAGGUCAAACAGAGCCUUCUUAUGAGGACAUGAAUGCUUGAAAAUGGCAAGACAGGCUGUCUUGGAAUUUUUGUACAGACUGAGCAGGUACCCAUCAGAUGUGUCUUCAGCACAAAUUUUAGGAUGAAAUCAAGACACACUCUUUCUCUACACCAUCAUUAGAAAGAAAGAUUUGAAAACUAGUGGAUAACACUAGCCUAGGUAACCAUUCUGUCUUGAGUUUU
rnacentral:lncRNA from 1 species